CUACGGGUCGCUGCAGUGAGGAAUAUUGCACAAUGGGGGGAACCCUGAUGCAGCAACGCCGCGUGGAGGAUGACGCAUUUCGGUGUGUAAACUCCUUUUAUAUGUCAAGAAAAUGACGGUAGCAUAUGAAUAAGCGCCGGCUAACUCCGUGCCAGCAGCCGCGGUAAUACGGAGGGUGCAAGCGUUACUCGGAAUCACUGGGCGUAAAGGACGCGUAGGCGGGUUGGAAAGUCAGGUGUGAAAUCUUACAGCUUAACUGUAGAACUGCACUUGAAACUUCUAAUCUAGAGUAUGGGAGGGGGAGAUGGAAUUAGUGGUGUAGGGGUAAAAUCCGUAGAUAUCACUAGGAAUACCUAAAGCGAAGGCGAUCUCCUGGAACAUUACUGACGCUAAGGCGUGAAAGCGUGGGGAGCAAACAGGAUUAGAUACCCUUGUAGUC
rnacentral:rRNA from 1 species